GGUAUUUUGUUACUUUUGGGCUAAAGCAUCCUAAAUUAUUCACACAGCGAUGUGUGAGCCAAUAUUAGAAGAUGUCUAAAUGGAAUUAUCUACUGCUAGAAUUCAGAAAUGGUGUGCUGUAGCUCUUACUGAUAGAGUCCAAUCCAAAAAUGAUUCAUGAUCUCCACAUAUGUAAUAAUACCUCAAGUUUUCUCAUAUGAAAUUUAUAAGUUUCAUAAUGAGGUUAUGAAUACCAAUAUCAAAAGGCAGUAACUAGACAAAAAAAAAAUCUUAGAAAAUGAGAAAAACAAAACAAUCUACUUUUGGUCCUUCUUUUUGUCUAUGAAUUGUCCACUACUCUUCCAUAUAGGAAAUUUAAACAGAUAGAGGGUGGUAUUUUAGUCUAAACUUUAUCAACAACAAAAUAAAAGCUAAGUGAGUCAAAGAAGUUAACUUUAGACUUCCAAAAGCAUCUCUUCCUGAGAUAGUAUUUUAUCAUGAAAUUGCUAUAAAUGAGUAGAAAAUCAGUAACUACAUGGGAUAGUGAAUGUGAGUGAAAGGACAACUUGAAACAAAGGUUAUAAAAUAAAACUUGAAGCAAAAGUUAUUUCCUGCUCCCUCUGAAUAAAAUACAUAUCCAAAUGAAAGAAACUUUACCAUCGCAACAUAUUUUCCUCACUGAAACUGAAGUUCUAAGCCCAAGUGUUUAUAACAACAUUGUUGCUGUGGAAAUAGUUGAUUCAACACCAUGAACUCACAGCUGAAUAAAGUAAGGUGUGGAACAGAAGUCUUAUUUAAACAGUGGCAGGACCUAUAAAACAUUAAAAAGGCAAGCUGCAUGCCGGUGAAUCAGAGCACCAUAUGUUUUAAUGUGAGGGUCACAUAUGUUUUUUUUUUCUUUCUGAUGCAUGACACAAAUAGGAUGUUUCUUUUUAAUUUAGUUCUAUUUUUGGAAGCCUAUAAUCAUCUCAACUACUCCCCCCAAUAACCUAAGGUUUGCUAUCUGCUUCUGUCCACAUACGGCAGCCUGUAUUUUAUUAAAUUGAUUGACCAGAGUUACUACAGUUCAGUCCUUGCCAGAACACUCAGACGUUAUGGCACCCACCAAGGGCACAAGUCAGGAUUUUACUUCUCCAUGUAGUCAAGUCUCUUAAUUAUGGCACACUGACUUAUUCAUCAUAGGGCGUAACUUCUGGUGUAUAGUUUCCUUUGUGUCUGCAGCUUUAUAAAUUCGAGCACAAAGUUGCCAGAGAACAUGAGUGAGAAUUCAGACCCAGUCUGAGUCAGUUAAGAGUUUCCAACAAUCCUGAAAACCCUAGAGAUAACCCAGUGUGAAACGGGGUGAACUGUCUGCACCUUCCUGAGAUGCUGGCUCCUCCUCUGCUCUCCACUUCCCACUUUUUAACUGGAGACGGCUGCACUUUUCUUUAAAUGCACACAUACUUUUACUGCUCUUUUCCUUGGGUUUUCUGAACCUUUCAAAUUAUGAUAAACGUUUUUAAGCCAGAAAUUUACUCUUUGUACAAUAAAACAUAUUCAAGUUUUUAAAAUGAGGGUGACACGUGGGACUAUUUAAAAAGCGACCUUUUCUCCUUAGGAGUGAAGUGUCUCUGUAAAUAGAAACCCAGGUCCCCUGCCCAGGGCGUGGCUGCCCUCUGCGUCUGCACAGGAGAUCGAUUCAUACCAGCAAAACCGGAAAAAUCACAACUGAAGGCAACCGUGGAAGCUGCAAGAGCCAAGAGCAGGACGUAAAGGAGUCGGGUUUUCUACUAGGAAUCUGUUUCUCCUGGAACUUUGGAGACCAGAGGAUUUUGGAGCUAAAAGAACCCUCAGGAAUCCCCUCAUCCAGUUGCUUCCUUUCGCCUAUGGAAAAACCAGAGGCAGCAAUGGCUUCUGAAGUGCUGUGUCCCAGUGUAUAAUGGGUACUGUUCUAACAGGGUGGAUUUUAAAAGGCAAGCAUAAAAAAAGGUGUGUGUAUAUGGGGGGUACAGAAUUAAUUUAUGUACAGGUCCAAAUAAAGGUACUGGAAGUCAAAAGAGUGGUAUUUUUCUGGAAAAUUAAUCUAUUAUAGCAUUUAUUAUAGAAUUAAAAAAUUACAGAAGUUAUGGCUUUUACUAUAUAGUAGUAUGUAUAUAAGUUUAGGGAAUGUAAUGCUAUACUAUACUAUUAUUUUAUAAGGCAAGGAGUAACCUUAAAGUGUAAUUAUAAAAAGAACGAUAGCAAUUGGCAUUUACAUGGACUUUUCAAGCCAUUACUUAAUCUGGUGACAAGGUUAAGACAUGGGUUGGUAAUGUUAUCGGCUGGGUUCACUAAAGGGUUGGAGAUAUUAUGGGGGCGUGGCCAAGGUCAUUGGUGAGUCAGUGGCAGUAUACACAGCUCCAGCUAGGGCACUUCACUUCCUUGGUUCUAAAUUAUGGUGCUUUUUGACUCUUUCCUCUCAGAACUGAAGAAAAAGGGACACCACCUAAAAACAAGGUAUAUAGCCAAUAAACUGUCAAGUUAAUAUAUGUAAUAUCUUAGUAUUAAGAUUUUAAAUUGUAAAGUUCUGUCUGAUAAGCUGAAAAGCAAACUAGUGGGAGAACAGCAUGCAGGAUUACACAAUAUUUAAACAAAAUUUUUGGUUUGCAUCAACACAUUAAACUGAAAUUUUUCACUAACUGUUGUUGACUUAUGUUUAAAACCAUGUAACGUUCUCAGUCUUGUAAAAUCUUUGCUAUUAUGAUAAAUAUUUUCAUAAUUUUACUUCCCUUUGUGAACACAUUAAGGUAUUUUCUACUGCUUAGUGUUUUAAGAAAUGAAGCAUUUUAGUUCUAUUUCAGUUGUUGGCCAACUACUUCAUCAACCUAGGUUAAUCUACAUACUCCACCUGAAAAAUUUUCCUUAAAAUAUGGUUUCACUGAGUUACUUUUAUGCUGAAAAGCCUUCAGGGGCCUCCUGCUGCCCACGUUAUAAGCCCUCGAGCUCAUAGUAAGUUUUUACAGUAAUGGCCUUCUGUGAAUCAUUCCUCCCAGAAUUCCCAGCCUAUGGGGUCCCCUACUACACUGACAGGUGGCUUGGCCUUGUGACUUGCUUUGGCCAAUGGGCUAACAGCAAGUAUGUCUCCCACGGGCUUGUUCUCUUAGGACAUCACUGAUAAGGUGUGAGGAUCCAGUCUGGCCUCCUUGAAGGGGAAAGACCCCAUAGGGAGAUAGUGCACCCAGCCCCCAACCCAGGUCCCAGUUGAUCGAAGCUUCAGGAGUGAGCCCCAGGGGUGCAGAGAACUGCUUGCUUUUACAGGAGAAAUAAUAAGCUAUGUUGUCCUAAACCACCAAGUUUGCUAUGCAGCAGGAGAUGACUGACAUUGCAUUCCAAUGCACAUGCUUUCUGACCCCAUCCCACCUGUUCCCCACCAGCAUCUUACCUGGGCCAGUGUGGACCCCAGGUCUUGGCUUAGUUGCAAUAGCAACUAAGCCAAGGCAGGCAGUCUCUGCCUCAGUUUUCUGCCUGAGGCAGAGACUGCCUGCAGAAGCCCAGCAUCUGUCAGCUAGCCAGCGCCUGCAGGCUUUCUGCCUGCUCUAGUCCGCACUGACCCCUACUACUCAAAUUCCCAUAACACUGGUCUAUACUUCACUCUCAGCCAUUCACAUGCUGCCCAGUGUUCUAACCUAACUGUCAACUGCACAUCUGGCAGCCUCACUAUCCUCCAAAUUCUUACCAAGGACUUUACAAAUUUAUCUGAAUUUCUCAAUGGCUUCAGCAAAGUACAACCAGAUGGCCUGCAGAAACUCCGGGAAUACUUUGUAAAGUACAGAAUACUCCCCUGGAGGUGUUAAAGUGAUAAGAGCCCUUUGGGGAGGAGCCUUGCUGGCAGGAGGGUGAGCUGUGGGCGGCUCACUGACUCACCUUGUAAAACUCUGCCUCAGAGAGGCAGCUCAUGCUAGAAAGAAAAGAAAAAGACUGCAGGUCACAGUGAUUUACUUCACAAGGACGUCUAAAGCAAUGACUUUGUGGCCUUGUGACUAAGUAAUCACUGAGGCAGUUAGCAGUGCAAGGCUCUGGCUCUCUGGAUGAAGGGGACACAGAUGUCACUGAUACUGUUGGAGGGGAGAGAGGGAAAUCCCAGACCUCUGCGCUUCCUGACACUGAAGCACAGAAAGCAUCUGGCAAGAAAGCACAGAGAUGCGGAAGAAAGUAAAUGAGCAGUUUACUUUUCCAGCGACUACAACAACAGUGCUCCUAAUCACCCAAAGUCCACGGUCUGGCCAGCACUCCCUUUCCUGGCGUGUGCUCAUGCUGAGGGUGAGGACACAAGUUUGUCUCCAAAUAUCAACAGGGAGGAACCAAAGGUAGGGUGUGGCAAAAGAGAGACAGAGAGAUAAGUAAAAGACACGAAACUUGAUCCAAAGCUGCCUUCAAAUCUGAAACUGUGGGAAACUAACUUUUCUACUUAAGUUAGUUGGCGGUCUUAGUGAGCCAAGGUAGAGGGUGAAACUGGAGUCUGAGUAUUUUGGGGGUGACACCUGCUAUACAGGGAGAAUUGUCCUGACCAUGUUAGAAUCUGGUGAUUAUUAGCAGUUUAAGUUUUUGAGGUGAUCGCUAAUGCAUUAUAACAACAUUCACUCUUUAAUAGGGAAGGAAA